rnacentral:ncRNA from 2 species
GCCACGGUCCCACGCGAUGGUUCCCGCGCGCCGCAACAGGCGAUCGGGAUGAAAAGGGAACACGGUGCGGUGUAGCCAUCAGGCGCCAAAUCCGUGACUGCCCCCGCAACUGUAAGCGGCGAGCCCCCGGCAUGACCACUGGACCGCACCGGUCCGGGAAGGGUCGGGACGGCCACGACCCGCGAGUCAGGAGACCUGCCAUCGCUGUUUUGUAACC